AUGAAAGAGAGCGUGGACGGCGGCCGCCGCCGCCGCCGCAGGCCCCAAACCCACGCGAGUGACGAGGCCGUCGGAGUGACCCGCCGCCAUCCCCAGCUUCACGCGAGCGAGGAGGGAGCCGGAGUGGCUCGCCGCCGCUCCCGUUCCCAGAUCCGCGCGACCAGCGAGGGCGCUGAAGUGAUCUGCCGCCGCGGAGUCUUCCCGGCAGCGCUGGCCUCGCCGAUUGAAGACGACGACCUCCUGAGGGAGAUCCUCCUCCGUCUUCCGCCGCAGCCCUCCUCGCUCGUCCGGGCCUCCGCGGUCUGCAAGCAGUGGCGGUGCGCGGCCACCGACCCCAAGUUCCUCCGCCGCUUCCACCUCCACCACCGGAAGCCGCCCCUCCUCGGCCUCUUCCACCGCCGCAAGGAUGAUAUCGUCUUCACCCCCAUCAUGGACCGACCCGACCGAAUCCCUCCAAGUCGGUUCGACCUGCAUCUCCUGGACAUCGACAGCCACACCAUGUGGAUGGUCGAACUGCUUGAUUGCCGCCACGGCCGCGUCCUUCUCAUGGACACACUGUGGGAUGAGGUCAUCAUGUGCGAACCUAUCACCGGCGAGCAGCGCCGCUUGACCGUUCCGCCAGAGUUCGUAAGGAAUCGCUUCACCGGGGCUGUGCUCUGUGCUGCCAUCGACCAUGACCACGUGCACGGAAGCUGCCACUUGAGCCCAUUCAACGUGGUGUUGAUCUCCGCUCUCGGAGGGAAUAAUCAACCUAUCGCGUGUGUUUACUCCUCGGAGACUGGUGAAUGGGGUGAUAUCAUUCCAUCAUCCGUUUCAUUUGAGCUUUUUUAUGACCAUACCCCUGGGUUGCUUGUUGGUAAUGCCCUUUACUGGUUGUUGGAUUCUAUAGGCCAUGAUAUACUUAAGUUUGAUUUGGAUAAGCAGAGCCUAGCUGUGAUUAGGGGGCCUCCUCUUACAAAUGAUUUUCGCCAUGGUAGUCAUUGCAUCAUCCAGGCUGGGGAUUGCGCCAUUGGGUUCGCCAUAUUGUCUUACCCUCACUUGCAAAUGUGGCAGAGGAAUAUCAAUUUUCAUGGUGUUGCCACAUGGGUGCUAUGGAAAACAAUUGACAUGCGUAUGAUUAUUGGGCUCCCUAAACAGAUUCAAGGAAAGAGGACACUUAUGAGACGUAUAUUGGGAUACCUUGAGGAUAGUGAUGAAAUACUUCUAUCUGUGGGCCGUGGUGCCUAUAAGGUUCAACUUAAGUCGAAGAAGUCUAAAAAACUUUGUGAAAACAGUUAUUUAACUCGCUAUCAUUCUUUCAACAGUUUCUAUCCUCCAGGAACAUCCAUUGCUGGCGGAUGUGAUGGAAAUGAUGCAUGCUACACAAGGUGA
rnacentral:rRNA from 1 species